rnacentral:rRNA from 1 species
AGUCAAGUAAUUAAGUGCAUGUGGUGGAUGCCUUGGCAGUCAGAGGCGAUGAAAGACGUGAUAGCCUGCGAAAAGCUCCGGGGAGGCGGCAAAUAUCCUUUGAUCCGGAGAUGUCUGAAUGGGGGAACCCACCUACUUUAAGGUAGGUAUUGCAACAUGAAUACAUAGUGUUGCAAGGCGAACGAGGGGAAGUGAAACAUCUCAGUACCCUUAGGAAAAGAAAUCAAUUGAGAUUCCCUCAGUAGCGGCGAGCGAACGGGGAUCAGCCCAUUAAGUUAUGUGUGUUUUAGUGGAACGCUCUGGGAAGUGCGAACGUAGAGGGUGAUAUUCCCGUACACGAAAGGGCACACAUAAUGAUGACGAGUAGGGCGAGGCACGUGAAACCUUGUCUGAAUAUGGGGGGACCAUCCUCCAAGGCUAAAUACUCCUGACUGACCGAUAGUGAACCAGUACCGUGAGGGAAAGGCGAAAAGAACCCCUGUGAGGGGAGUGAAAUAGAUCCUGAAACCGCAUGCAUACAAGCAGUGGGAGCACCUUCGUGGUGUGACUGCGUACCUUUUGUAUAAUGGGUCAGCGACUUAUAUUCAGUAGCGAGGUUAACCGUAUAGGGGAGCCGUAGAGAAAUCGAGUCUUAAUAGGGCGUUUAGUUGCUGGGUAUAGACCCGAAACCAGGCGAUCUAUCCAUGAGCAGGUUGAAGGUUGGGUAACACUAACUGGAGGACCGAACCCACUGUCGUUGAAAAGCCAGGGGAUGACUUGUGGAUAGGGGUGAAAGGCUAAUCAAGCCUGGUGAUAGCUGGUUCUCCCCGAAAGCUAUUUAGGUAGCGCCUCGGACGAAUACCAUAGGGGGUAGAGCACUGUUUCGGCUAGGGGGUCAUCCCGACUUACCAAACCGAUGCAAACUCCGAAUACCUAUGAGUACUAUCCGGGAGACAGACUGCGGGUGCUAACGUCCGUAGUCAAGAGGAAAACAAUCCAGACCGCCAGCUAAGGCCCCAAAAUCAUAGUUAAGUGGGAAACGAUGUGGGAAGGCAUAGACAGCUAGGAGGUUGGCUUAGAAGCAGCCACCCUUUAAAGAAAGCGUA